rnacentral:rRNA from 1 species
AGUGAACGCUGGCGGUAGGCCUAACACAUGCAAGUCGAACGGCAGCACAGUAAGAGCUUGCUCUUACGGGUGGCGAGUGGCGGACGGGUGAGGAAUACAUCGGAAUCUACUUUUUCGUGGGGGAUAACGUAGGGAAACUUACGCUAAUACCGCAUACGACCUACGGGUGAAAGCAGGGGAUCUUCGGACCUUGCGCGAUUGAAUGAGCCGAUGUCGGAUGAGCUAGUUGGCGGGGUAAAGGCCCACCAAGGCGACGAUCCGUAGCUGGUCUGAGAGGAUGAUCAGCCACACUGGAACUGAGACACGGUCCAGACUCCUACGGGAGGCAGCAGUGGGGAAUAUUGGACAAUGGGCGCAAGCCUGAUCCAGCCAUACCGCGUGGGUGAAGAAGGCCUUCGGGUUGUAAAGCCCUUUUGUUGGGAAAGAAAAGCAGCAGGUUAAUACCCCGCUGUUCUGACGGUACCCAAAGAAUAAGCGCCGGCUAACUUCGUG